rnacentral:rRNA from 1 species
UACGAAGGGGGCUAGCGUUGCUCGGAAUCACUGGGCGUAAAGGGUGCGUAGGCGGGUCUUUAAGUCAGGGGUGAAAUCCUGGAGCUCAACUCCAGAACUGCCUUUGAUACUGAGGAUCUUGAGUCCGGGAGAGGUGAGUGGAACUGCGAGUGUAGAGGUGAAAUUCGUAGAUAUUCGCAAGAACACCAGUGGCGAAGGCGGCUCACUGGCCCGGUACUGACGCUGAGGCACGAAAGCGUGGGGAGCAAACAGGG